rnacentral:lncRNA from 1 species
UGAUGACGUGAGGAGUGACCACAGCUGGCCGCUGGCCCCAGCCCUGGCAGGACGCCACCUCAGCUCCCCUCCCUCGGGUGCUGGGGUGGACGGGGGAUGGGCCCAGGACGCACGUGGCUCCCUCGUGCGACAAAGUCUCAGCACUUUGGGGCCAGGGCGCCCUGGCUGGACAAGGGGUCCGGGAGGAAGCACAGGAUGGGCGGGGUGGGGGAGGCGGGGAACGGAGGGCGGAGCAGGGCUGGGGCCUCCGGGGCCUGGGGAGGCCCCCGCAGGCAGCACCGCACCCCCCCACACACCUGAGAGGUUCCUCUGUCCUGCUAAGUGGCUAGGCGGGCACCCCCGAGCCCAGGGGACGCCCCCAAACCCCACUCAAAGCCAGGCUUUGUUUGGGGCGACGCGUGAGGCUGGAUCUGAUUUCGCCCGAAGCAGCUCAGCCGUCUUCACCUUGGGUCAAUGGAAGCCUAAGCAAUGGGCUCAUACGCCGAUGACGAGUUCUCUUCCGUGCUGCUCUCCCUGACUCAUCUGAUGAGCGCGUUCACCUGCCUUGAAGGUUUCGCGUUUUUCUAUUGCCUUUAUGAGUCUUGAUUGGGAAACUGCAACGCGAAGUUGUUUACAUUAUUUGUCUGUUUUUAAUGUUUGAGUGAUUACCCAACUGAUCAGAAACGUGCUAAUUGCUGGCUAAACUGACUCUCUGACAGCUUAAAUUCUAAGCCGAGUCUCCCAGCUCUGGGCUUCCCGUCGGAUCCCUGGAACUCUCAGAGGAUGGGACUCUGAAUUUGUUAAAGCUACAGCUGCUUGAGUCAAUUCAGAUCAUGUGACCUAUGCUGCAUUCAUGUUUUUGCUUUCCAGCUAGAGUGGUCUUUUGAAAAUGAGAGUAAAUUCUGUGCAUACAAGCCUUUAUGUUGUUAACUAAAGUAAGCCAGUACAGAUUUGUUCAGAGAACUGAGUUAAUGCAAACGCCCUUCGGUUCGCUCAGCGGCUCCCUGCUCAGUGUUACGUCUUUGAUCUGCUUUAAACUUGUUUCUCUUAACGAUGAAGAUCUUUUCAAGGUUGUGGACAUGCACUAGUGUCCCUGUCGCUGCUCAGGUGUUAUCCUUGUGUUACUUAAAGGCAUGCGAAAUGUAACUUUGACUUUUAAUUCAGAUAAUGGUGUGGUGUUCAUUAAUAACUCAGCGUCUUAAGUUAUCUGGGCAUCGGUGCUAAGU